rnacentral:pre_miRNA from 1 species
AUAUAUUGUUGUGUGGAUGGUGUUCAGCACCAAGGACAGGCAUAUUUACCUGUAAAUGUAUGCGUGGAUGCUGUUCAGCACCAGGGACAAGUAUGUUUACCU